rnacentral:rRNA from 1 species
UGGGGAAUCUUCCGCAAUGGACGAAAGUCUGACGGAGCAACGCCGCGUGAGUGAAGACGGCCUUCGGGUUGUAAAGCUCUGUUAUACGGGACGAACGGGCGAGGGGCUAAUACCCUCUUGUCGUGACGGUACCGUAAGAGAAAGCCACGGCUAACUACGUGCCAGCAGCCGCGGUAAUACGUAGGUAGCAAGCGUUGUCCGGAAUUAUUGGGCGUAAAGGGUGCGCAGGCGGUCUCUUAAGUCUGUCUUAAAAGUGCGGGGCUUAACCCCGUGAGGGGACGGAAACUGGGAGACUGGAGUAUCGGAGAGGAAAGCAGAAUUCCUAGUGUAGCGGUGAAAUGCGUAGAUAUUAGGAGGAAUACCAGUGGCGAAAGCGGAUUUCUGGACGACAACUGACGCUGAGGCACGAAAGCCAGGGGAGCAAACGGG